AGCAGCCGCCGCGGUAAUACGUAGGUCCCGAGCGUUGUCCGGAUUUAUUGGGCGUAAAGCGAGCGCAGGCGGUUAGAUAAGUCUGAAGUUAAAGGCUGUGGCUUAACCAUAGUACGCUUUGGAAACUGUUUAACUUGAGUGCAAGAGGGGAGAGUGGAAUUCCAUGUGUAGCGGUGAAAUGCGUAGAUAUAUGGAGGAACACCGGUGGCGAAAGCGGCUCUCUGGCUUGUAACUGACGCUGAGGCUCGAAAGCGUGGGGAGCAAACAGGAUUAGAUACCCGCGUAGUCCCUGUCUCUUAUACA
rnacentral:rRNA from 1 species